rnacentral:lncRNA from 1 species
GGAUCUUGUAUGCUUUCUUUAUUAGGUAAGACUCCUGUGCCUCCUCUUCCUCUGCCAUGUCCAAAGGAACCUCGUCCUCAUCCACGGCCUCGUCCAUGACCGUAUCCGCGGGUAUAACUAUGACCGCGAUUUAUUUGAUUGCUUUCGCUAGUUGGGCCAUCUUUUUUCUCAUUGAUGGUGAGCUUGCACUUCAAGGCUU